ACGAACGCUGGCGGCGUGGAUAAGACAUGCAAGUCGAACGAGAGAAUUGCUAGCUUGCUAAUAAUUCUCUAGUGGCGCACGGGUGAGUAACACGUGAGUAACCUGCCCCCGAGAGCGGGAUAGCCCUGGGAAACUGGGAUUAAUACCGCAUAGUAUCGAAAGAUUAAAGCAGCAAUGCGCUUGGGGAUGGGCUCGCGGCCUAUUAGUUAGUUGGUGAGGUAACGGCUCACCAAGGCGAUGACGGGUAGCCGGUCUGAGAGGAUGUCCGGCCACACUGGAACUGAGACACGGUCCAGACACCUACGGGUGGCAGCAGUCGAGAAUCAUUCACAAUGGGGGAAACCCUGAUGGUGCGACGCCGCGUGGGGGAAUGAAGGUCUUCGGAUUGUAAACCCCUGUCAUGUGGGAGCAAAUUAAAAAGAUAGUACCACAAGAGGAAGAGACGGCUAACUCUGUGCCAGCAGCCGCGGUAAUACAGAGGUCUCAAGCGUUGUUCGGAAUCACUGGGCGUAAAGCGUGCGUAGGCUGUUUCGUAAGUCGUGUGUGAAAGGCGCGGGCUCAACCCGCGGACGGCACAUGAUACUGCGAGACUAGAGUAAUGGAGGGGGAACCGGAAUUCUCGGUGUAGCAGUGAAAUGCGUAGAUAUCGAGAGGAACACUCGUGGCGAAGGCGGGUUCCUGGACAUUAACUGACGCUGAGGCACGAAGGCCAGGGGAGCGAAAGGGAUUAGAUACCCCUGUAGUCCUGGCAGUAAACGGUGCACGCUUGGUGUGCGGGGAAUCGACCCCCUGCGUGCCGGAGCUAACGCGUUAAGCGUGCCGCCUGGGGAGUACGGUCGCAAGAUUAAAACUCAAAGAAAUUGACGGGGACCCGCACAAGCGGUGGAGUAUGUGGCUUAAUUCGAUGCAACGCGAAGAACCUUACCUGGGCUUGACAUGUAAUGAACAACAUGUGAAAGCAUGCGACUCUUCGGAGGCGUUACACAGGUGCUGCAUGGCCGUCGUCAGCUCGUGUCGUGAGAUGUUUGGUUAAGUCCAGCAACGAGCGCAACCCCUGUUGCCAGUUACCAGCACGUGAAGGUGGGGACUCUGGCGAGACUGCCCAGAUCAACUGGGAGGAAGGUGGGGACGACGUCAGGUCAGUAUGGCCCUUAUGCCCAGGGCUGCACACGUACUACAAUGCCCAGUACAGAGGGGGCCGAAGCCGCGAGGCGGAGGAAAUCCUGAAAACUGGGCCCAGUUCGGACUGUAGGCUGCAACCCGCCUACACGAAGCCGGAAUCGCUAGUAAUGGCGCAUCAGCUACGGCGCCGUGAAUACGUUCCCGGGUCUUGUACACACCGCCCGUCACAUCAUGGAAGCCGGUCGCACCCGAAGUAUCUGAAGCCAACCGCAAGGAGGCAGGGUCCUAAGGUGAGACUGGUAACUGGGAUG
rnacentral:rRNA from 1 species